AUCCAGCUAAAGAGUCCCAAAUAGGACGAAACGCACGUUCUAAAU
rfam:Schistosoma rodhaini strain Burundi genome assembly, scaffold: SROB_scaffold0009852